rnacentral:rRNA from 1 species
CCUACGGGAGGCAGCAGUGGGGAAUAUUGCACAAUGGGGGAAACCCUGAUGCAGCGACGCCGCGUGAGUGAAGAAGUAAUUCGUUAUGUAAAGCUCUAUCAGCAGGGAAGAAAAUGACGGUACCUGACUAAGAAGCCCCGGCUAACUACGUGCCAGCAGCCGCGGUACUACGUAGGGGGCAAGCGUUAUCCGGAUUUACUGGGUGUAAAGGGAGCGUAGGCGGUUUAGCAAGUCAGAAGUGAAAGCCCGGGGCUCAACUCCGGGACUGCUUUUGAAACUGUUGAACUAGAUUGCAGGAGAGGUAAGUGGAAUUCCUAGUGUAGCGGUGAAAUGCGUAGAUAUUAGGAGGAACACCAGUGGCGAAGGCGGCUUACUGGACUGUAAAUGACGCUGAGGCUCGAAAGCGUGGGGAGCAAACAGGAUUAGAUACCCUGGUAGUC